GGAGAAUUACCUGAGCCCAGGAGGUUGAGGCUGCAGUAGGUGCCAGAUUGAGACUGUUUAAAAAAAAUUGCGUGGGGAAGACAGCUGAGACAAGGAUAUUAAAUAAGAAGACAUUUUAUAAGCCUGGCCAUUUGAAGAUAUAGGCUUAGACCAGUAGAUUGUAAUUUAAAUUUUACUUUUUUAUUUUCCAACUCUUUAAUCUCUAGGAAUAACUGGAAAUUUUAAGAAGUUACUAUCUCUGCUAUGGGGAUGGAUAGUCAGACAGCAAUGUUCACAAAUUACUCUUGAAACUUGAUGCAAACAACCUGUUUAAAAACUGAUGUAACGAGAGGAAUUUCAUGGAUGCAAAUGAACACCUGUGAAAAUUCUUCGGCAAGAACUGUUUCAUUUAGCAACACCAGGCUGUACAGGAGGCAUGGCUGGGGAGGCCUCAGAAAACUUACAAUCAUGGCAGAAGGUGAAGGGGAAGCCAGCACAUCUUCAUAUGAUGGCAGGAACUUUAUAUGUUAUAGAAGUUAGCCCCAAGAAUGAAAUCGUGUCCUUUGCCAAAACAUGGAUGGAGCUAGAGGCCUUUAUCCUAAGUGAGUUAACGCAGGAACAGAAAGCCAAAUAGUGCAUGUUCUCACUGAUAAGUGGGAGCUAAACUAUGGGUUCACAAAGGCAUGCAGAGUGGUACUGUGGACAUUGGAGACUCAGAAUGGGGGAGGCUAGGAGGGAGGUAAGGGAUGAAAAAGUACCUGUUGGGUACAAUGUACACUACUUGGGUGACGAUGGGUCCACUAAAAUCCCAGAUUUAACCACUGUACAAUUCAUCCAUGUAACCAAAACCCACCUGUACCCCAAUGCUAUGAAAAUAAAUAAAACCAAAUUA
rnacentral:lncRNA from 1 species